rnacentral:rRNA from 1 species
UUAAGUUAUUAAGGGCGCACGGUGGAUGCCUUGGCACUAGAAGCCGAUGAAGGACGUUACUAACGACGAUAUGCUUUGGGGAGCUGUAAGUAAGCUUUGAUCCAGAGAUUUCCGAAUGGGGAAACCCAGCAUGAGUUAUGUCAUGUUAUCGAUAUGUGAAUACAUAGCAUAUCAGAAGGCACACCCGGAGAACUGAAACAUCUUAGUACCCGGAGGAAGAGAAAGAAAAUUCGAUUCCCUUAGUAGCGGCGAGCGAAACGGGAAGAGCCCAAACCAAAAAGCUUGCUUGUUGGGGUUGUAGGACACUCUAUACGGAGUUACAAAGGACGACAUUAGACGAAUCAUCUGGAAAGAUGAAUCAAAGAAGGUAAUAAUCCUGUAGUCGAAAAUGUUGUCUCUCUUGAGUGGAUCCUGAGUACGACGGAGCACGUGAAAUUCCGUCGGAAUCUGGGAGGACCAUCUCCUAAGGCUAAAUACUCUCUAGUGACCGAUAGUGAACCAGUACCGUGAGGGAAAGGUGAAAAGCACCCCGGAAGGGGAGUGAAAUAGAACCUGAAACCGUGUGCUUACAAGUAGUCAGAGCCCGUUAAUGGGUGAUGGCGUGCCUUUUGUAGAAUGAACCGGCGAGUUACGAUUUGAUGCAAGGUUAAGCAGUAAAUGUGGAGCCGUAGCGAAAGCGAGUCUGAAUAGGGCGUUUAGUAUUUGGUCGUAGACCCGAAACCAGGUGAUCUACCCUUGGUCAGGUUGAAGUUCAGGUAACACUGAAUGGAGGACCGAACCGACUUACGUUGAAAAGUGAGCGGAUGAACUGAGGGUAGCGGAGAAAUUCCAAUCGAACCUGGAGAUAGCUGGUUCUCUCCGAAAUAGCUUUAGGGCUAGCCUCAAGUGAUGAUUAUUGGAGGUAGAGCACUGUUUGGACGAGGGGCCCCUCUCGGGUUACCGAAUUCAGACAAACUCCGAAUGCCAAUUAAUUUAACUUGGGAGUCAGAACAUGGGUGAUAAGGUCCGUGUUCGAAAGGGAAACAGCCCAGACCACCAGCUAAGGUCCCAAAAUAUAUGUUAAGUGGAAAAGGAUGUGGCGUUGCCCAGACAACUAGGAUGUUGGCUUAGAAGCAGCCAUCAUUUAAAGAGUGCGUAAUAGCUCACUAGUCGAGUGACACUGCGCCGAAAAUGUACCGGGGCUAAACAUAUUACCGAAGCUGUGGAUUGUCCUUUGGACAAUGGUAGGAGAGCGUUCUAAGGGCGUUGAAGCAUGAUCGUAAGGACAUGUGGAGCGCUUAGAAGUGAGAAUGCCGGUGUGAGUAGCGAAAGACGGGUGAGAAUCCCGUCCACCGAUUGACUAAGGUUUCCAGAGGAAGGCUCGUCCGCUCUGGGUUAGUCGGGUCCUAAGCUGAGGCCGACAGGCGUAGGCGAUGGAUAACAGGUUGAUAUUCCUGUACCACCUAUAAUCGUUUUAAUCGAUGGGGGGACGCAGUAGGAUAGGCGAAGCGUGCGAUUGGAUUGCACGUCUAAGCAGUAAGGCUGAGUAUUAGGCAAAUCCGGUACUCGUUAAGGCUGAGCUGUGAUGGGGAGAAGACAUUGAGUCUUCGAGUCGUUGAUUUCACACUGCCGAGAAAAGCCUCUAGAUAGAAAAUAGGUGCCCGUACCGCAAACCGACACAGGUAGUCAAGAUGAGAAUUCUAAGGUGAGCGAGCGAACUCUCGUUAAGGAACUCGGCAAAAUGACCCCGUAACUUCGGGAGAAGGGGUGCUCUUUAGGGUUAACGCCCAGAAGAGCCGCAGUGAAUAGGCCCAAGCGACUGUUUAUCAAAAACACAGGUCUCUGCUAAACCGUAAGGUGAUGUAUAGGGGCUGACGCCUGCCCGGUGCUGGAAGGUUAAGAGGAGUGGUUAGCUUCUGCGAAGCUACGAAUCGAAGCCCCAGUAAACGGCGGCCGUAACUAUAACGGUCCUAAGGUAGCGAAAUUCCUUGUCGGGUAAGUUCCGACCCGCACGAAAGGCGUAACGAUUUGGGCACUGUCUCAACGAGAGACUCGGUGAAAUCAUAGUACCUGUGAAGAUGCAGGUUACCCGCGACAGGACGGAAAGACCCCGUGGAGCUUUACUGUAGCCUGAUAUUGAAAUUCGGCACAGCUUGUACAGGAUAGGUAGGAGCCUUUGAAACGUGAGCGCUAGCUUACGUGGAGGCGCUGGUGGGAUACUACCCUAGCUGUGUUGGCUUUCUAACCCGCACCACUUAUCGUGGUGGGAGACAGUGUCAAGCGGGCAGUUUGACUGGGGCGGUCGCCUCCUAAAAGGUAACGGAGGCGCUCAAAGGUUCCCUCAGAAUGGUUGGAAAUCAUUCAUAGAGUGUAAAGGCAUAAGGGAGCUUGACUGCGAGACCUACAAGUCGAGCAGGGUCGAAAGACGGACUUAGUGAUCCGGUGGUUCCGCAUGGAAGGGCCAUCGCUCAACGGAUAAAAGCUACCCCGGGGAUAACAGGCUUAUCUCCCCCAAGAGUUCACAUCGACGGGGAGGUUUGGCACCUCGAUGUCGGCUCAUCGCAUCCUGGGGCUGUAGUCGGUCCCAAGGGU